rnacentral:rRNA from 1 species
UUAAAGGAAUUGACGGAAGGGCACCACAAGACAUGGGGCCUGCGGCUUAAUUUGACUCAACGCGGGACAACUCACCAGGUCCGGACACAGGAAGGAUUGACAGAUUAAGAGCUCUUUCUUGAUUCUGUGGGUGGUGGUGCAUGGUCGUUCUUAGUUCGUGGACUGAUUUGUCUGGUCAAUUCCGAUAACGAGCGAGAUUCUAGCCUACUAAAUAGACGUUCCGCUCCUCUCUGGCGGACGCUCUUCUUAGAGGGACAGGCGGCGCUUAGCCGCACGAGACUGA